UACGGAGGGUGCAAGCGUUGUUCGGAGUUACUGGGCGUAAAGCGCGUGUAGGAGGCUUGUUUUGUCAGGUGUGAAAGCCCUCGGCCUAACCGAGGAAGUGCGCCUGAAACUGCCAAGCUUGAGUACGAGAGAGGAGGACGGAAUUCCCAGUGUAGAGGUGAAAUUCGUAGAUAUUGGGAGGAACACCGGUGGCGAAAGCGGUUCUCUGGAUCGAUACUGACGCUAAGACGCGAAAGCGUGGGGAGCAAAUAGG
rnacentral:rRNA from 1 species